rnacentral:rRNA from 1 species
GACGAACGCUGGCGGCGUGCUUAACACAUGCAAGUCGAACGGUGAAGCUCCAGCUUGCUGGAGUGGAUCAGUGGCGAACGGGUGCGUAACACGUGAGCAACCUGCCCCUGACUCUGGAAUAAGCGCUGGAAACGGCGUCUAAUACUGGAUACGAGAAGGGUCCGCAUGGGCACCUUCUGGAAAGCUUUUCGGUUGGGGAUGGGCGCGCGGACUAUCAGCUUGUUGGUGAGGUAAUGGAUCACCCAGGCGACGACGGGUAGCCGGCCUGAGAGGGCGACCGGCCACACUGGGACUGAGACGCGGCCCAGACUCCUACGGGAGGCAGCAGUGGGGGAUAUUGCACAAUGGGCGACAGCCUGAUGCAGCGACGCCGCGUGAGGGAUGACGGCCUUCGGGUAGUAAACCUCUUUCAGCAGGAAAGAAGCGAAAGUGACGGUACCUGCAGAAGAAGCACCGGCUAACUACGU